rnacentral:rRNA from 1 species
CCUACGGGAGGCAGCAGUGGGGAAUAUUGCACAAUGGGGGAAACCCUGAUGCAGCAACGCCGCGUGGGUGAUGACGGUCUUCGGAUUGUAAAGCUCUGUCUUUGGGGACGAUAAUGACGGUACCCAAGGAGGAAGCCACGGCUAACUACGUGCCAGCAGCCGCGGUAAU